rnacentral:misc_RNA from 1 species
CGAAGAAGGGCUUGUAUACUGUCAAAUCAGCUUACCAUGUUGCUAGAACUGUGUUGAGGGACCAAAGGAAUUUUUCAACUCCUUGUUGUUGGUUGAAAUUGUGGAAAUUAUUAAUUCCACCAAAGUUGAAGAAUUUCAUUUAGAGGGCGUGCAGGGACUUGCUACCAUCAAGACUCAGAUUAAAUCAGAGAGAUUUGCAAGUUGAUCAAACUUGUGUUUUGUGUGGUCAAGAGGAGGAUUCAGUUCAUACUUUGUUAAAAUGUCCUUUGGCAGUUGAUUGCUGGAAACUAAUACGAGUGGAUUCUUCUCGGAUUGUUUACACAGAAUUUGGGAGCUGGUUCUUUAGUCUUUUUC